UUAGUAGUGCAACAAUAUAGAAUUCAAGAGUAUUAUUCUGCGUUACAGGUAUUCACAGAUGGGUCUAAGGCAGUUACGUGUAGUGGUGAAAGUCCUCUGGGUGUGGAUGGAAAUGAAGAAGUAGACUUGCUGGCAAAGAAGGCAUUAAAUCAUCCAUAAAUAGAAAUGAAUUUAGCUUUAAGUAAAGCUGAAUUCAAGAGAUUAAAAUCUAUUGAAGUAAGAAAGAAAUGGCAAAAGUUAUGGAAUAGUGAGUCUAAAGGAACAUGUGUUUAUCAGAUUCAGGAGUGUGUUGGAAAUGAGAGGAAAUAGGAAGAAAGACGUCAUCAGUUCAAGAUUAAGAAUUGGACAUACAGCAUUAAACUGUAUUCUUCGUUAAAAAGAGAAGCAUGGAUCGGGAAAACCUGACAAAUGUGGAGAAUCAGAAACAGCGAAGCAUAUAUAAGAGCAAAAGAUUUCAGUUAAUUUAAGAAUUAUGAUGGCUGGGAGAUGAUCAUAUUUCUCUAAAAGUAUUGUUGGGAAACAGGUCAAGGCAAUCAAGAGUGCAGGAAAUAUUAUUUAAAUACCUGAAAAACACUGGAACAAUGCAUAGAAUUUAGUUUCUUUCCUCUCUCUCUCUCUCUUUUCUUUUCCUCCAUUUUUUUUCUGUUCCAAAUCUACGCACACUCCACACUCCAGAGCAGUAGGUGGCGGUAAUGAACCUUUUUUUUUUUUCAUUGGCUUUCCAAACCGCCAUAAAACACCAGAAGAAGAAGUAGAAGUUCUUUAUAUCUUUCCGGUCUGGUUUGUGCUGGAGUCGUACCAUCGGCGUGCUGUCGUCCGUCAGAGAGCGCGGCGUGUACGUGAACUCAGAGAAGUCCGGGUGGAUCUUCUGGACCGGCUCGAUGCCGCUGUGCAGGAGUUUAGUGACCUCCUCCUCCGACACCUUCAUGUGGUACAUCAUCAUCUCAUUGGCCAGAUGACUGCGGAACUGAGCCUCAUGGACCUUCUUAUACAGCAGAGACUGACACACACACACAAAGGAAAGCUCUUACAUGAGCGAUGCUGAUGCCGCAGUAGAUGGAGAACGCGGUUGCCAGAUCCUCAUCGAAACGAUUGAACCACGGGCCAUUGGUUUUAUUCACCAGUUCUGCCACACCGAUCACCUCUGAUGAGAAAACAGUCAGAUGGACAGAGGUCUGGUCAGUCAGACAGGGACGGCACCCAGGACUGACGUGUCUGACCUUCGUUCUCAUCUUUGAUGGGGAAGCAGAGGAUGUUUCGCGUCCUGAAGCCCGUGCUGUCGUCCACUCCGCGGUAAAACAGA